CGGCUUUUCCAGCCAACGCCCUAAUUUCAGAAACCUGUAUAAAUAACCCAACGGUCCUCUCCCCUCUCAGUCCUCUGCUGUGUUGGCGGCUCAAAUUAGGGUUUGGGACUACUUCCCAAAUUCAGAUUGCAAAGGUUUCUUAUGAAGACUGUAGGGCGCUGAAUUCAGGAAUCUGAUCACCUCAUUCUCAUUGUGAAGAAACCAAAUUGUUGACAGGAAGUGUGCUUGAGAUGUGGAUAGCUGCAGUGUCACUUAUUACAGUUCUUACCCUGUGUAUUUAGAAUUAAGCUAUUACUUGCAGCUACGUUGUUGGACUCGAUUGUUUGUGAUGAAUAAGAAACGGAAUUGUUUUA